AACGAACGCUGGCGGCAUGCCUAACACAUGCAAGUCGAACGAGACCUUCGGGUCUAGUGGCGCACGGGUGCGUAACGCGUGGGAACCUGCCCUUAGGUUCGGAAUAACUCAGAGAAAUUUGAGCUAAUACCGGAUAAUGUCUUCGGACCAAAGAUUUAUCGCCUUUGGAUGGGCCCGCGUAGGAUUAGCUUGUUGGUGGGGUAAUGGCCUACCAAGGCGACGAUCCUUAGCUGGUCUGAGAGGAUGAUCAGCCACACUGGGACUGAGACACGGCCCAGACUCCUACGGGAGGCAGCAGUGGGGAAUAUUGGACAAUGGGCGAAAGCCUGAUCCAGCAAUGCCGCGUGAGUGAUGAAGGCCUUAGGGUUGUAAAGCUCUUUUACCAGGGAUGAUAAUGACAGUACC
rnacentral:rRNA from 1 species